rnacentral:rRNA from 1 species
AACCUGCCCAGUGAUUUUUAUUUAACGGCCGCGGUACUCUGACCGUGCAAAGGUAGCAUAAUCACUUGUCUUAUAAUUAAAGACUAGUAUGAACGGUUUGACAAGAAUGAAGCUGUCUCUAGACAAGUUUUAUAGAAUUUGGUUUUUAGGUGAAGAAACCUAAAUAAAAUUGAAAGACAAGAAGACCCUAUCGAGCUUUAAAAAAAUUUUUUGACACCAUAGAAAACUAGUUUCAUUAAAAAAUUUUGGUUGGGGCGACUAAGGAACACAAAAAGCUUCCUAUAAAACAUAAAAACUUUUAAGUUUUGAUCCAAAAGUUUUGAUUAACAGAAUUAGUUACCGUAGGGAUAACAGCAUAAUCUUUCUUAAGAGCUCUUAUCGAAAGAAAGGUUUGUGACCUCGAUGUUGGACUAGGGUGCCCAGAAAGAUGCAGAAGUCUUCAAUGGUUGGUCUGUUCGACCACUAAUACCCU